GAUGUAGGUGGCGAGCGUUGUUCGGAAUCACUGGGCAUAAAGCGCACGUAGGCGGCCAAGUCAGUCAGGGUGUGAAAUACCUCGGCUCAACCGAGGAACUGCGCCUGAUACUGCUUGGCUUGAGGUCCGGAGGGGAGAGUGGAAUUCCCGGUGGAGCGGUGAAAUGCGUAGAGAUGUGGAGGAACACCGAUGGCGAAGGCAGGCCUCCUGGGCCAGCACUGACGCUCAUGCACGAAGCGUGGGAGCAAACAGG
rnacentral:rRNA from 1 species